rnacentral:rRNA from 1 species
AGGAUGAACGCUGGCGGCGUGCCUAACACAUGCAAGUCGAACGUCCUGUCUCGCAAGAGGCAGGGAGUGGCGGACGGGUGAGUACCACGUGGGUCAUCUACCGUGAGGUGAGGAAUACCGGCGAGAAAUCGCCGACAAGACCGCAUAGCCUCGGUGCAAGUCGAGGAAAGCUCUCUCGAGAGAGGGAGCGCCACACGAGGAGCCUGCGCCCGAUUAGCUAGCUGGUGGAGUAACGGUUCACCAGGGCGACGAUCGGUAGCUGGUCUGAGAGGACGAUCAGCCACACUGGGAUUGAGAACGGCCCAGACUCCUACGGGGGGCAGCAGUGAGGAAUUUUCGUCAAUGGGGCAACCCUGAACGAGCAACGCCGCGUGCAGGAAGAAGGUUUUCGGAUCGUAAACUGCUUUUCGUCGGGGAAGAGGAACGGACGGUACCCGAGGAAUCAGCCCCGGCUAACUACGUGCCAGCAGCCGCGGUAA